rnacentral:snRNA from 1 species
AUACUUACCUGGCAGGGGAGACAACAUGAUCAGGCAGGUGGUUUUCCAAGGGUGAGGCUCAUCUAUUGCACUCCGGGUAUGCUGACCCCUGCGAUUUCCCCAAAUGCGGGAAAAUCGACUGCAUAAUUUGUGGCACC